rnacentral:rRNA from 1 species
GAGUUUGAUCCUGGCUCAGGACGAACGCUGGCGGCGUGCCUAAUACAUGCAAGUCGAGCGGACAGAUGGGAGCUUGCUCCCUGAUGUUAGCGGCGGACGGGUGAGUAACACGUGGGUAACCUGCCUGUAAGACUGGGAUAACUCCGGGAAACCGGGGCUAAUACCGGAUGGUUGUUUGAACCGCAUGGUUCAAACAUAAAAGGUGGCUUCGGCUACCACUUACAGAUGGACCCGCGGCGCAUUAGCUAGUUGGUGAGGUAACGGCUCACCAAGGCGACGAUGCGUAGCCGACCUGAGAGGGUGAUCGGCCACACUGGGACUGAGACACGGCCCAGACUCCUACGGGAGGCAGCAGUAGGGAAUCUUCCGCAAUGGACGAAAGUCUGACGGAGCAACGCCGCGUGAGUGAUGAAGGUUUUCGGAUCGUAAAGCUCUGUUGUUAGGGAAGAACAAGUGCCGUUCGAAUAGGGCGGUACCUUGACGGUACCUAACCAGAAAGCCACGGCUAACUACGUGCCAGCAGCCGCGGUAAUACGUAGGUGGCAAGCGUUGUCCGGAAUUAUUGGGCGUAAAGGGCUCGCAGGCGGUUUCUUAAGUCUGAUGUGAAAGCCCCCGGCUCAACCGGGGAGGGUCAUUGGAAACUGGGGAACUUGAGUGCAGAAGAGGAGAGUGGAAUUCCACGUGUAGCGGUGAAAUGCGUAGAGAUGUGGAGGAACACCAGUGGCGAAGGCGACUCUCUGGUCUGUAACUGACGCUGAGGAGCGAAAGCGUGGGGAGCGAACAGGAUUAGAUACCCUGGUAGUCCACGCCGUAAACGAUGAGUGCUAAGUGUUAGGGG